AGUGACAGUUGGGCGGCUCAGGCCAGCAUGGAGGAGGGAGCAGCUCUUGUGUGGCCACUUCCCUCACCCAUCCUGGCCCACGGCACUCAGCGCAAUGGCUGACAGAAGGGCUCGGCAGCUCUGGGCUUGGCAUCUCCAGGGGACCCAAGACAAGCAGCCUCCCUCAGCUUCCUGGCUUGUGAGCUCAGACUGUGGAGGUGGGCAUCUGCAGAGACAAUAUGUUGGCAGAGCUCCAGCUACAGCCUCUCCCUCGUGGGGUGAUUUUUCUACCCAACUACAUGCUCCUUAAGAGAAUCCCAUCCAGCUCUCGGUGUAAGGAAGAGGCCCAUAGCACAGGGGACCAAAUCCAAAGAAAGUAACUUUUGCCAGAAAGUUGCAGCAGUUCCGCCUUUUGCCCACCAGAGGAUACUGUGGCACUAGAACAGAGCAGCAGUUCCCAGCCAGCCCCAGCUUCCAUGGGGAUGAGAAAGAGCCUGCCUUCUUCACAGCACCUGCCAGUACCAGCUAAUGUGGUGUCUCCCACUGGGCUCUGGGCUGACACUUGAAGGACAGAUGGAAAGCGCUGUCUGUGGGACACUUUCCCUGCGUUGCCAGAGAGUGGAAGACUGUGCCAGUGCAAGCUCCAGGAUCGUCAGAACUUGACUGAAUAAACUGAUUUCUUCAGAAAGCAAGCCUCUCUCAGGUGUAAAAACGUACGGGGGCCUGAUGCAUCACAGCAUUGCUAGUGAGCAAUCGCACUGAUCCCCUACUGUCACCAGUAUGAAUAUGACUCAUCUCAGCAGGGAUUAAAAAUUGUUCCCACUUCA